UUUCCCUAUUGGGAAACAUAGCAUUGGAAUUUGUUCACAGACAGGAAAGAAGGGCAGAAAUGGAAACAUCUUGCUCUAGUUUCUCCAGCUCCCUUUAGCGCUCCAGAAAAAUGGAAGUUUAUCUCUAAUGUGAGAAUAUAACAAGAAGACAUCCAUUUGCAAACCAGGAAGAGGACUGUCAGCAGGAACUGACUGUGCCAGCACCCUUGACCUUGGUCACCCCAGCCUCCAAAACUGCUCCUUUGCAGCUAGGUGUAGCCAUGUGACGGAUCUGGGCAGCAGAAUGUAAGAGGAGUCUGCUUGGACUGCUGAGAAAGCUUCUGAUUUUCCAACAAAAGCAAUAGAUGGUCCAGCUGAUCCAGGCUUUCCCCUCCUUCCUGGCUUGAAUAUGGACCUAAUGCUUGGAGCCCGAGGGCUAUCACACUUCUAAGAUGACGCUCCUCUGCAUUAAAGUUUGGAAGAGGCCUCAUUCCUGGUUACCAUAGCUAAACCAGGAGGCAUCAAAUGGAAGAAAGGUAUGAUAUAUACGAGAAAGAAUGAAAAUAAAAAGCACACCCCACUUAGAGGAAGAGACUGGGACCGAGUCAAAAUAGUCAGAGAUGAAAGCUUAGCAACUUUGCACAUUUUAAGCACUGCCUGGAAUUCUGACUGAUGGGAUAUUCUGGAAGAAGGCUUAAGCAAAUAAGUACGCUAAGAGGAACACUGAAGCCAUUUCAUGCUGUGGCUGUUUUAAUCUUUGGGCAUGAACUAGCAAUUAUUUUCAUAGGGUGUGGGAGUGGAAGUAACCAGGGGAUUUCUGGGGCCCAUAAUGGACUCUGUGGUGUUCACUGAGAACCGAAUGUUAUACCACAAGAUUACAGGGCUCUCCAUCCCUUCUGACCAGUGCCGAUUUGAAUCCGCACUGCAGCCUCCUUGUGUCAUCUCAGCUGCAGUCUGCGGAGAGGGGCUUCAUCUUGCUGCCUGGGCUUCGGAAUAAAUAAAGUAUUAUUAGCCAUUGUCUUAGAGGUUGAAUGAAUCCAUGGCUCUCAGGGACGUAUACAUAGGAUGUCAGAGUCUCAGUUACUGAGAAGAAAUGAUAAAGCAUCCAGGAAAGAUUAAAAACGGCCAACUUCAGUACGUGACAUUCUCCUUGUGUCAAUCAUUAUUUUCAAAUGUUUCUUAUUGAAAGGGGACACCUUUCUUGAAGCUUGAACUACUGUGACUUUGCAUUGCUCCCAGUGCCUUGGGCCCAGGAUGAUAUUAAAAUUGUCCACUGUGAAGAAUGAAGAGGGGCAGAACACCCACAUUCCCGGGAAGACCUCUUAAUCUCAUCACAUUACUCUCUUAUUUCAAACGCAGUCUGUUUUUUCCCUAAACCUAUAUAUGACUUAAAAUCCAUCUAAUUUCUCUUUGUGUCUUCAUCACAGGUACAAGAUAUUAAAAAUAAUAAUGUUAUUCUGAGGUUUACUGGUUUCAAAAAAGAGCUUUUCCUGCCGCUCACAUAUUUGGUGGACAUUUGAUCAGGAGAAGGACCCCUAGGUGAAGUCCUGUCUCCUGACAUCAUAAUUUCCUUACACACUGAAGCUAAAGUAAACUUCUUUGGGUGUUCUUUUCAUUGUGUCAUAAAUGAGCCCGGUUUCUCCUGUCUGUGGUGUAGUUCCUUCUACCAUCUGACCUGCCCCAAAUUUCAAGUCUCUUCUCUCCUUACUCUUCUACUUAAACUUGGCUGCUGAGGCCCAGACAAACUUGGUUACUGAUCAUUCUUCCAACAUUCCAUGUCAUUCUGCAUUUGCUGGUCCCCUCACUUUGGAAUGCCCUUGUCAACUUCCUGUGUGUCAAUCUGGCUUACGCAUCAUGGUCUGAAUGAAAAGUCUUUUUCUGUAAGAGGCCUGUUAUGGUCAGUGCAGGUUUGGUAUUUUCCUCUCCCAAACCCCUACAGUGUCCCAUUCAUACCAUGAUCAGGUCAUUCUUUACAUAUUGCCCUUGAUUAGGCUUUUUGAAGGACUACCUUCAUUAAUUCAGGAUGCAUAUAUCCAUCUUCUCUGUGUCGAUAGCUGUUCUAGGAGCAGGAGAUACUGUAGCAACUAAAAUAGAUGUGAGUCCUAUUUUCAUGGAGCUCUGGGGUAUCUGUUUUAUAAAAUUGAACUCCUUGAGGCCACCCACCUCACCUUUAUAUUUCACAUGAGACAAUGCUUUGAACAUGGAAAGUAAUUACUAAUUUGUAUUAACCAAGUAAAUCGUCAUCUCCAACCCUAUAGGACCCAAUGCCCUCUUGCCAAUAUAUUGCCAUGUAGUUUUUACCGUGCUGGAAGAAAAGUAAUAAAUGAUAUCAUCUACCUACACACAUAAUUUUGAAAACAUUAAUGUCUCUCCAUGUAAACACAAUGCCCUCAAAAAAAACAAUGAAGAGAAAAGCAAUUUAGAACAAUAUGCAUUUCACUGUGUAAACACCUGGAACAGGACUACUUAGAAGAUGCAGUGAAGUAGUUAGAUGAUUAUGUUUGGAUUCUCAACAAGCAAGAAGAUAAGAAACCAUGCUGCAUAUAAAAAGCAGGAACAUGAAACAGCAGAGGUGUGACACUCAAAUGAAAAUGAGUGUUUGGAUAGGUUGUAGCGACCUAGAUUCAUUCGUGUAUAAUAAGGGAAAGAGAGAAACUGCCUUCAUUGAAGUUGGGAAUCAUAUGCCAAAGAAAAUUGCAAAGCAAUAAAAUGGAGACACGAGGAAGUGUGACAGUCUGACAAAUGAGCCGUAUCUCACUUGUAAGGGGAGGAUCCAAAGAAUUCAUGCAGAAUGACUGAGGGCAGAGUCGUGACAGGGGAGCACAGAAAACAUAUCUUCUAUUUUAAAUUCCUGCCACCUGUUAGACAAUAAUUUCAGUUUCUGCUAUUUAUUAAGACUUUGAAGGCCAAAUAUUUUGGCAGGUGGUAGGGAGAAGAGGGUGGAUUAAGAAAAAAAAAAGAGUAAUCCACACGGAGUCUGUAGAAAACUGUUUUAUGAUAUGUUUCUGGGGGAAGUAUAAGAGGAAAAUCAAAAUUAAUAGGCAACUCACUUUUGCUUCCAGACACAGAUGAAGGACUGGUACUGGAAUAGCCUUCCCACCAUAAACAACAUAGAUCUGUACAAAGUGUAAGAAACAAAUGUGUUCUGUAAUUAACAAGAGCCAGUGUAAGAUAGUGAUUCCCAAGAGAUGGAAAACAAGGAAAGUGUGUCAUCUGUUAGCUCUGGUUUGGGGUCCAGAGCCAGGUUCUGGACCACAGGACUGGGAGGCACAGCCUACAUGCAGCACAGCUGUCUUGCUGAGCCUGGGACUGAGAUCAGAGCCCAGGGAGGCUGAGAGAGCUAGAAUUUGCAGGGCAGAGAACCAGAGGGGAAAGAAAAUUGUGGAGAAAUCUCCAGAAAAUCUGCAUCAAAGUCCUCAAAAUUGAGGGUGGAACUCCAUGAGGCUGGAGAAAAAUAACUACUAGGGAAAGACAAGCACCUGGAAGCAAUAAGGUGAGCAGAUCCUAGAGCACUUACAGGCUGAGAAGAGUUUGAAUCUGAUCCGUCAGAGUGGAAGGACAUCAUUAAACAUCUGGAGCAUUUAGGAGAUGCCCCAGGAAAGCCAUGCCCUGUGAGGAGGGCCAAACUGGUUACUCGAGGCUUGGUGACCUAAUAAAGCUUAAUAACAAGAUUCCAAAGAAUCAAGCUAAUCCACACACAAUUUAGCUGCUGCUGGAACAGAAAUUCAACACUUUUCAAAGGAAGACAACAAAAUGGAGAAUAUCGACUUUGUAACAUUCACGCUGUUCAGAAUCGAAUCAAAUCGAAUCCCAGUCACCCCCGAUCAUCUAAAAGGUCUAACAAAUGUGCAAGCUGGGGUCCCAGGAAAAGAAAAUAUUUGAAGAAAUGAUGUUCAGAAAGUUUCCCAACUUGAGGAAAAGUAUAAACACACAGGUCCAAGAAGCCUAAUGAACUCCAAACAGGAGAAACACAAAGACAACUACAAAGGGGCACAUUGUAAUACAAUUCUUGAAAACUGAUGAGAAAGAGAAACAUGUCAAAGGCAGCCAGAGGGGAAAAAAAAGACACAUUAUGUAUCAGGAAACAGAGGUAACAAUUACUGUUGACUUUAUCAGAAAUAGUGCAAACCAAGAAGACAAGGGAUGACAUUUUUGAAAUACUGAAACAAAACAAAACUCUUGUUAAUCAAGAAUGCUAAAUCAGCAAAAAGGUCUUCAGAAAUAAAAAUGAAAUAGAAAUUUUCACACAGACAAAAGCUGAGAGACUUUGUUUUCUAAGUUCUACAAGAAAUGUUAAAGGAUCUUCUUAAGUCUAAGGGAGAAAGUGCUUAGAAUCUGAGUUCUACAUGAAGGAAUUAAGAGCACUAGAAAUAGCAAAUACCAGGCAAAUAUUAAAGACUUUUUUUUUCAUUUUCCAAUUUCUCCAAAUAUGGGUGACUGUUUAAAGCAGAGUAAGUAACAAUGUAGUGUAGAGUUUAAAUAAAUGACAAUAACAUUGCCAAAGAUUGGAGGGGAAAAUGGAGAAACACUGCUAUAAACUUCUUAUGUAACUUGCAAAGUGAAUAUAACAUUAUUUGAGAGUAGACCAUAUGAUACAUAUUUCAUAUAAAACAUAAACUAUAUAUGAUCUUAAUUUUCUAACAACUGUCUCAAUAAAAUACUUCAUUUCUCAGAAAAAAAGGCAACCCAAAUAAAUAAAACAAAUACACACUUUUUUACAGCACAGUUCUCUUAUUAUUGAGCUACUAUAUAUAUGAGUAAUAACAAUAAUAAUAAUAAUAAUAAUAAUAAUAAUAAAUAUUUUACAAAUAAUCCUUAAAACAUAAUGCAA